rnacentral:rRNA from 1 species
UACGUAGGGGGCUAGCGUUGUCCGGAUUUAUUGGGCGUAAAGAGCGUGUAGGCGGCCAGGUAGGUCUGGUGUGAAAACUCGAGGCUUAACCUCGAGAUGUCAUCGGAAACCAUCUGGCUAGAGUCCGGAAGAGGAGAGUGGAAUUCCUGGUGUAGCGGUGAAAUGCGCAGAUAUCAGGAAGAACACCUAUGGCGAAAGCAGCUCUCUGGGACGGUACUGACGCUGAGACGCGAAAGCGUGGGGAGCGAACAGG